GACGAACGCUGGCGGCGUGCUUAACACAUGCAAGUCGAACGGUAAGGCCCUUCGGGGUACACGAGUGGCGAACGGGUGAGUAACACGUGGGUGAUCUGCCCUGCACUUCGGGAUAAGCCUGGGAAACUGGGUCUAAUACCGGAUAGGACCACUGCCUGCAUGGGUGGGGGUGGAAAGCUUUUGCGGUGUGGGAUGGGCCCGCGGCCUAUCAGCUUGUUGGUGGGGUGAUGGCCUACCAAGGCGACGACGGGUAGCCGGCCUGAGAGGGUGACCGGCCACACUGGGACUGAGAUACGGCCCAGACUCCUACGGGAGGCAGCAGGGGGGAAUAUUGCACAAUGGGCGCAGGCCUGAUGCAGCGACGCCGCGUGAGGGAUGACGGCCUUCGGGUUGUAAACCUCUUUCAGCACCGACGAAGCGCAAGUGACGGUAGGUGCAGAAGAAGGACCGGCCAACUACGUGCCAGCCGCCGCUGUAA
rnacentral:rRNA from 1 species